UUUCUUCUUAUUCUUCUUCUUCUUUGAUGCGGCACACAACAUAUUUAAGUUAACCUUUUUUUUUUAAAUUAAAAACACGCCUUUCUUCUCUGAAUUUCCGGUUCUCCAUAUUUGAGAAAAUGGCCCAGAAACGUCUCGCCAACGUUUCUUCAUUUUUUACACGGGGAAACUCCACCCGUUGCCAUUUCCAUGCAUCAUAGACGAUCAUAGAUAACGGAAAUAAGCCUAUAAUGGCCGUAACUUAAUGAUAACUGCCUAUUGCUAUGCAAUUUGUUUUGAAAAUUUUACAAAAGUUCAUGCAAUUAAUAUAUUUUUAAAAAUAUAAGUAAAACUAAGAUACA
rnacentral:misc_RNA from 1 species